AGUCGACGGAGCUGCUUUGAUGAAGUUUUCGGAUGGAUUUAAAACAGCUUAGUGGCGGACGGGUGAGUAACGCGUGGGUAACCUGCCUCACACUGGGGGAUAACAGUUAGAAAUAGCUGCUAAUACCGCAUAAGCGCACAGUUCCGCAUGGAACAGUGUGAAAAACUCCGGUGGUGUGAGAUGGACCCGCGUCUGAUUAGCCAGUUGGCGGGGUAACGGCCCACCAAAGCGACGAUCAGUAGCCGGCCUGAGAGGGUGAACGGCCACAUUGGGACUGAGACACGGCCCAAACUCCUACGGGAGGCAGCAGUGGGGAAUAUUGCACAAUGGGGGAAACCCUGAUGCAGCGACGCCGCGUGAGUGAAGAAGUAUUUCGGUAUGUAAAGCUCUAUCAGCAGGGAAGAAAGUGACGGUACCUGAAUAAGAAGCCCCGGCUAACUACGUGCCAGCAGCCGCGGUAAUACGUAGGGGGCAAGCGUUAUCCGGAUUUACUGGGUGUAAAGGGAGCGUAGACGGCAAGGCAAGUCUGAAGUGAAAGCCCGGUGCUUAACGCCGGGACUGCUUUGGAAACUG
rnacentral:rRNA from 1 species